UACGUAGGGGGCAAGCGUUAUCCGGAUUUACUGGGCGUAAAGCGCGUUAAGGCGGCCGGCUAAGUUUGGUGGUGAAAUUCCAGGGCUCAACCCUGGAACUGCCUCCAAUACUGGUCGGCUCGAGUGCGAGAGAGGAAGGUGGAAUUCCCGGUGUAGUAGUGAAAUGCGUAGAUAUCGAGAGGAACACCGGUGGCGAAGGCGGCUACCUGGACGGUGACUGACGCUGAGACGCGAAAGCGUGGGGAGCAAACAGG
rnacentral:rRNA from 1 species